rfam:Acyrthosiphon pisum strain LSR1 Contig18269, whole genome shotgun sequence.
GCUGCGGUGUCCGAGUGGUUAAGGAGUUGGACUCGAAAUCCAAUGGGCUCUGCCCGCACAGGUUCGAAUCCUGUCCGCAGCG